rnacentral:rRNA from 1 species
UGGGGAAUAUUGGACAAUGGGCGAAAGCCUGAUCCAGCCAUGCCGCGUGUGUGAAGAAGGUCUUCGGAUUGUAAAGCACUUUAAGUUGGGAGGAAGGGCAGUAAGCGAAUACCUUGCUGUUUUGACGUUACCGACAGAAUAAGCACCGGCUAACUCUGUGCCAGCAGCCGCGGUAAUACAGAGGGUGCAAGCGUUAAUCGGAAUUACUGUGCGUAAAGCGCGCGUAGGUGGUUCGUUAAGUUGAAUGUGAAAGCCCCGGGCUUAACCUGGGAACUGCAUCCAAAACUGGCGAGCUAGAGUAGGGCAGAGGGUGGUGGAAUUUCCUGUGUAGCGGUGAAAUGCGUAGAUAUAGGAAGGAACACAAGUGGCGAAGGCGACCACCUGGGCUCAUACUGACACUGAGGUGCGAAAGAGUGGGGAGCAAACAGG